rnacentral:lncRNA from 1 species
GGCCGCCCGCCUCCCCGUCCAGCUCGGAGGACCUCCCAGCUGGUUCCCUCACCGUCAAAAGCAGGAAGGGAGCUGGCUCGGCGGGAUCAGCAAGCCAGCGGGCAAGAAGGCUCCAGGCUCCGCAGGGGCCACCCCACAUGGACUCGGGAACCGCCGAGCUUCACCCACAAGGGCCCACGGCCCAUCCUAUCACGGAUGAAAAGAUUACAGGACUGACAAUGAGGCCCUGGAGGGAUCUGAUGCAGCUGGCGGGGAGAAAGGGAACACGGUGUUUGGUUUUAUAAAUUCCAUUUUGGUGGAAUAGGAAGGCUGGAGUGCAGUGGCAUGAUCUCAACUCACUGUAACCCUCCGCCUCCCAGGCUCAACGAUCCUCCUGCCUCGGCCUCCCUAGCAGUUCGAACUAUAGGCGUGCACCACGACAUCCAGCUAAUUUUUGUAUCUGUUGGAGACACAGGGUCCUGCCAUGUUGUCCAGGCUGGUCUCCAAUUCCAGAGGCAAUAAUUGGGAGGCCAAGGCGAUCUGCCUACCAAUUAUUUUCUCUUAAAUGCAUUUUAAAGCUACAAAUUUUCUCCUGACUGCUUCAUGUAGGUUUUAAUAUUAUUUGCCAUGAAAUAUAUUUCACAGUGGAAUGACAGAUAAUUGGGAUAAGAAAUGGCAAUUCAAGGAGUUAUUUAAAUAUAGGGCUAAGAUUUGAAUUCUAGCUUACUGGGACCAAAGCUUGUGAAGUCUCAGGGUAUGGCUGAAUUAUAGUGCUCUUGUUAUUUCUAAAGAGUGUAUAAUUUUUAUUCUGAUAUCCCCUUUAACCCAUGUGCUUUUUCCUAAGAGUACAACUUAAGGAGGGCAUGUUUGAUUAUUUUAUUGUUUUAUAAUCAGUUAACUAUGCCCUGGUCCUAUAUGGUUUCAGCUUUUCAGCACUUGUUGAGACUUAAUUUGCCAUCUCACUUAUGGCCAAUUUUUGUCAAUAUUCUAUGUGAAUUUGAAAAUAAUGUAACUUUCCUAUUUUGAAUAUAAGAUGGUAUAGGCAUAAUUAUAGUUAUGAUUAAUCUUAUUAACCGUGUUCUUCAAAUUCUCCAUAUCCUCAGUAAGUUUCAGUCAACUAGAUCUGUCAAUUCCUAAGAAAGGUAUAUUAAACUUAUCACUGUGAUUGUUGACUUAUAUGCACAUAUGUGUAUGUAUCCUUGUUAAAUGCAAACAAUUCAUGGUCAUUCCUUAAUGGAGCACUACCUUUAUGAAUAUGAUAUACCCUUCUAGUGCCAUAUAUAAAUGUAUUUUUAAACCGACUUUAAAAAAAAAAAAAAAAGAGGAACUUGCUCUGUCACCAGGCCAGAGUGCAAAGGUGCAAUCAUAGCUCACUGCAGCCUUGACCUCCUAGGCUCAAGCAAUCCUCCUGCUUCAGCCUCCUAAGUAGCUGGGACUACAGGUGCAUGUAACCAUGCCUGGCUAAUAUUUUUACUUUUUGUAGAGACAGGGGUCUUGCUUUGUUGCCCAGGCUGAUCUUGAACUCUUGGCUUCAAGUGAUCCUCCUGCCUCAGCUUCCCAAAGUGCCAGGAUUACAUGUGUGACCCACCAUGUAAGCCCACAUUUUUCUAACUUCUACAGUAAUAAUAUCUAUAUCCUAUUUAUUUAUAACAUAAAUCUUACUUAGCUUGUUUUACUUCUCUUCACUCUUGCUUUCCCUACCACCCUUCUACAUCACCUGGAAUUUGAAUUCCAGGUUUUCUUUUUAAUUUUCUAGAAUCUAAAUUCACUUUGUUUAGCAAUAUCUUUUACCAAAUACAUGACCACCUUUGCUUCCAUUAUCUCACAUCUUCCCUUAUGAUCUUUUUAAAAUUAUUGCUGGAAUAGAAUUCUGAAAAGUCACCCACACUUAAAUGAUAGUUUAAUUGAAUUCAAAAUUAUUUUCCCUAGAUUUUAAAAAAUAAUGCUUCGUGUCUUCUUAUAUCCAGUGGAGCCCAAAUGAGUUGGAUGUAAAUUUGACUUCCAUUUCUUCAUAAGCAUUUUCCCUGAAUGUGUUUAGAAAUUUCUCUUUGUUCCCAAAUUUUGUCACUGUGAAUCUAGGUGAGGGUCCUUCUCAUCAUGUAUGCUCAGAAUUUAAUAGGACCUUGCAAUCUAAGGAUGUAUGUAUGCAUUUAGAUCCUGUGAAAUAUCCUCCUUUUAUUCCUUUAUUUUCUCAUGACUAUGGUUGCAUACUACACAAUAGUAGGUUGUACACUACACAUUGGCAAAUCUUACUAUUCAAAUGACAGCCCCUGAAAUUGUGCAGUGCACAAUCAGCAAAUCUUAUUUGGUAGAUUUGUAUUUUAUUUCUUACAUGUUUUCAAUUCUCCCCUCCUCUCUAACUCCUCAUCCUGUUACAUGAGUUUGGAACAUCUGGAUCUAUUUUUCAUAUCAUUUAACUUUUCUUUCAUCUCUGCAUGCAUCUUUUUAUAUGGCUUUGUGGAGGAAUUUCUGGCUUAUCUUGAUCAUCAUGAGGACGGAGAAACUCAAACUAUGUGUUUCCUGUGCUUUCACACUACAACAAUCAACACAGAAGACUGACGGCGGAGGGGGGUUCUCCAUACAGCAAGCAAGCAAUCAGUUCUGCAGUGGACACCAGCUGAGUGUACUCCAAUUCAAUUUUUACACUAUUUAUCAGGAGAUCCCACAGGUUGAGGACUGAGUCUACCAGACUGCCCCCACUUCAAAUGCCAGUUCCAAGUCUGGGCCUCCAGAACUUCUGACCAACCAUUUCCAAGCUGGGGUUCCCAUGGCUUCCUCCUUUGCAUUGUAUUAAUUUGCUAGAGCAGUUCAUGAAACUCAGAGAAACACUUGGGUUUACUGGUUUAUAACAAAAAAUACAGAUGAAAAGAUGCAUAAGGUAAAGUAUGGGGGAAGGAGCAUGGAGCUUCCAUGCACCUCCACUGGGUGCGCCGCCCUUCAGGAACCUCUACAUGUUCAGCUAUCCAGAAGCUCUCCAAGCCCUGUCCUUUUGGGUCUUUGUAUGGAGGCUCCAUUGCAUAGGAAUCACUGAUUAAACCAUUGGCCAUUGGUGAUCGGCUUAACCUUCAGCCCCUCUCCCCUCCCCGGAAGUUGGAGGUGGGCUGAAAGUCCCAACUCUCUAAUCCUCCCCUUGUUCUUUCUGGUCACCAGCCCCCAUCCUGAAGCUACCUAGGGGCUGCCAGACAUCAGUCAACUCAUUAAUAAACAAAACGACAUCACACUUUGGUGUUUCUAAGGAUUUUAGGAGUUGUAUGUCAGGAAAUGGGGUUGAAGACCAAAUAUAUAUUUCAUAAUAGCA